rnacentral:rRNA from 1 species
UCGCUCCUACCGAUUGAAUGAUCCGGCAAAAUCAGUGGACUCUGAUGCGAUUUGGGUUUCUGAAUCGUAUUGUGAGGAAAUUGAUUAAACCUUAUCAUUUAGAGGAAGGAG